rnacentral:misc_RNA from 1 species
GAUAAUUGGAUGAGUGACAUAUGGACCAGAUAACAUGCAGAGCGUGUGAUAUACUGCAUAAUAGAAGCGAUGAAAUAUUGUAGAAAAAGAGAUGAAAAUAUUAGGAACACCGCAUUAUCCCUUUGUUUCGAAGAAGAAAAUCGACGUAAAACCGACCCAAACGAAUCACACGAACGUUCGAUCAUCGUUGUUGGUAGCAAGAAUGUUGGUAAAACAACGAUCGUACAUCGGUUUCUUGAAAAGGACGAGACACCAAAGCCAACAAUCGCGAUUGAUUACUCCUACGGUCGUAAAAUCGGAAAGAGUUUAAUAAAAAAUGUCGUUCACAUUUGGGAAAUAGGAUACUUGAGUUCUUCAUUAAUGUCAGCAGCAAUGUCAGGCGUUUCUUUAACCCAUUCUCCUGCUCAUACCACGAUAUUAUUGAUGUUGGACUUAUCGGAACCGGAAUCUUUGUGGACGACAUUCGAAGAAAUUUUCUCGAUAAUUCGUAGCGCCAUGAAAAUGAGUUACGACGACAGAACGAUUCAGGAUCUCAAGCAGCGGCGAAUUAAUGAACGUAAGAAAUCGUUGGAAAAAGAAGUAGACCCUUUUCCAUUGAAGUUAUGCAUUAUCGGAGGAAAAUAUGAUCAGUUUAAGGGUUUAGAUACGGGUAAAAGAGAAUUAAUCGGAAAAACAUUAAGAGCUAUAGCUCACACUCUGGAAGCAGGUCUCUAUUAUCAUUCUUCCAAAGAUAAGAUGCUCGUACGACAAACUAAAGACAUAUUAUCUCACUACGGAUUUGGCACGCAACUUUCUAAUAGCAAAUGCGUAGACUUCGAGAAGCCAUUAACGAUAGCCCCGGGUACAGAUUGCUUCUCAUCGAUCGAUUUACAAUUUCCUCCGACACGACCUGCAGCUAUCUUGGACGCCAUCAAACACGUUUACGUAGCUUCUAUCCCGCAGGAAUCAAAGAAUAAUGAUAUCAUCUUAAAGGAUCCAAGCAACGACUUCAAUUUUAAUGAACCAAUUAUUGAUAAACUGCGGGCUCAGAGGGAAGAGGAAAUCGGUGUUCUUCUCCACGAUAUGCUCGAAGGUCGGACACCUCAGAUUCUUGUUCCAGAUCCAUCGUAGAAGUGGAUUUAUCACUACUGAUAAGCCAAAGUGAAAAGAAUAGUUAACAGUAAACAAACUUUUUAUAAUGCAUAUCACACGUUUAAUUUGGUAAAAGUUAUAAGAAAAUUCUGGCGAGAUAUGCUUAUCUAAGAAAGUUUUCUAGAAGUGACCUAACUUAUAUGAUUAGCUAAUAAAUUAUAAAAUCAUUUGUAAAAAGAAUUCAAUUAUGUUACUAAUGAAAAUAUUGUUUAUUCUAUUCUUGAGUAAAUUUUAUUUACAGCUGUAUGUUUCAUUUACUCGAUAAAACUUUGUCAUUGUUUAUAAUAGCUCGGUACAAUAAUUUUGUUUUGCAUGAGGAAUUAAACUCUUACUAUUUGUAGUGAUAACGAUGAUAAGAUCAACGAUAAAAUGUGUUUAUUACAUGAGACUUCAAGAAAGUCGGAUUUAAUAAUGCUGGGAAUCUUAUAUUGCAUCCAGCAAGGGGAGGUCAUGAAUAGGGGGACGCCGAUUUAGAUCAUCGUUGGUGAACUGAAAGAGGUUUAUAUAACAUGAAAACAUGUCAAAUCAUUCGAUGCAACGAAUAACCGUUUACAAGAAAUAAUGACUUAAAUAAUGUACAUCGAAUUGUUACUCCACUGAUCAAAAUUAAGUAAGCGGAUGUGGCGAAAUGGUUAAGCUUGUUUUGAAAUACCGAGGUUGCGCGUUCAAAACGUAUUAACACUUUUGUUUAAUAUACAUGUUCAUUUUAUGAAAUUUCUUAUUAAAAAAUACCUAUGAAAUAUAUGAUUGAGAAAAGUAUGUUCCAU